rnacentral:tRNA from 1 species
GCGGAAGUGGCGAAAUUGGUAGACGCACCAGAUUUANNCCGCAAGGUGUAAGAGUUCAAGUCUCUUCUUCCGCACCA